GAAUUCAACUCCUACGGGAGGCAGCAGUGAGGAGUAUUGGUCAAUGGACGAGAGUCUGAACCAGCCAAGUAGCGUGAAGGAUGACUGCCCUAUGGGUUGUAAACUUCUUUUAUAUGGGAAUAAAACGUUCCACGUGUGGGAUUUUGUAUGUACCAUAUGAAUAAGGAUCGGCUAACUCCGUGCCAGCAGCCGCGGUAAUACGGAGGAUCCGAGCGUUAUCCGGAUUUAUUGGGUUUAAAGGGAGCGUAGGUGGAUUGUUAAGUCAGUUGUGAAAGUUUGCGGCUCAACCGUAAAAUUGCAGUUGAAACUGGCAGUCUUGAGUACAGUAGAGGUGGGCGGAAUUCGUGGUGUAGCGGUGAAAUGCUUAGAUAUCACGAAGAACUCCGAUUGCGAAGGCAGCUCACUGGACUGCAACUGACACUGAGGCUCGAAAGUGUGGGUAUCAAACAGGAUUAGAAACCCUAGUAGUCCAGGCGUU
rnacentral:rRNA from 1 species